rnacentral:rRNA from 1 species
UACGAAGGGGGCUAGCGUUGCUCGGAAUCACUGGGCGUAAAGCGCACGUAGGCGGAUCUUUAAGUCAGGGGUGAAAUCCCAAGGCUCAACCGUUGGAACUGCCUUUGAUACUGGGGAUCUCGAGUCCGGAAGAGGUUGGUGGAACUGCGAGUGUAGAGGUGAAAUUCGUAGAUAUUCGCAAGAACACCAGUGGCGAAGGCGGCCAACUGGUCCGGUACUGACGCUGAGGUGCGAAAGCGUGGGGAGCAACAGGGAUUAAGAAACCCCG